GCAGUCGAACGAUUAAGCUCUCCUCGGAGAGUGUAUAGAGUGGCGCACGGGUGAGUAACACGUAAGUAAUCUACCCUCGAGUGGGGAAUAACGUCCGGAAACGGACGCUAAUACCGCAUAAUGCAGCGGCACCGCAAGGUGACAGUUGUUAAAGAUUUAUCGCUUGAGGAGGAGCUUGCGGCAGAUUAGCUAGUUGGUAAGGUAAUGGCUUACCAAGGCUACGAUCUGUAACCGGUCUAAGAGGACGGUCGGUCACACUGACACUGAAUAACGGGUCAGACUCCUACGGGAGGCAGCAGUCGGGAAUUUUGGGCAAUGGGCGAAAGCCUGACCCAGCAACGCCGCGUGAAGGAUGAAGUAUUUCGGUAUGUAAACUUCGAAAGAAUAGGAAGAAUAAAUGACGGUACUAUUUAUAAGGUCCGGCUAACUACGUGCCAGCAGCCGCGGUAAUACGUAGGGACCAAGCGUUGUUCGGAUUUACUGGGCGUAAAGGGCGCGUAGGCGGCUUGUCAAGUCACUUGUGAAAUCUCUGGGCUUAACCCAGAACGGCCAAGUGAAACUGACAUGCUAGAGUGUGGAAGGGGCAAUCGGAAUUCUUGGUGUAGCGGUGAAAUGCGUAGAUAUCAAGAGGAACACCUGAGGUGAAGACGGGUUUGCUGGGCCAACACUGACGCUGAGCGCGAAAGCCAGGGGAGCAAACGGGAUUAGAUACCCCGGGUAGUCCUGGCCCUAACGAUGAAUACUUGGUGUCUGGAGUCAUUAAUGCUCCGGGUGCCGUCGCUAACGUUUUUAGUAUUCCGCCUGGGGA
rnacentral:rRNA from 1 species